rnacentral:rRNA from 1 species
UGACCCGUCUUGAAACACGAACCAAGGAGUCUAUCUAGUAUGCAAGUAAAUGAGCAUAUGAAACUUAUUUGCAUAAAAAACUUGACUGUUAUGGGACUACGAGUUGUAUUAACAUACAGCUCCUCCAUCCCGGGGUAUUUUUAUCAACAUAUGCAGCAAUGUAUAUGGAAAAUAUACCAUGAGCAUACUGGAUAUGACCCGAAAGAUGGUGAACUAUGCCUGAUCAGGUUGAAGUCAGGGGAAACCCUGAUGGAGGACCGAAGCAAUUCUGACGUGCAAAUCGAUUGUCAGAAUUGGGCAUAGGGGCGAAAGACCAAUCGAACCAUCUAGUAGCUGGUUCCUUCCGAAGUUUCCCUCAGGAUAGCUGGAGCAUAGAAAUAUCUUUUUCUAACUCAUACCUGGUAAAGCGAAUGAUUAGAGGCCUUAGGAACGAAAUGUUCUUAACCUAUUCUCAAACUUUAAAUGGGUAUGUAAGCUAACAUACUUGAUUGAUGUUGGCCUGGUGGUAAACGUAAGUUUAUCUGUAAGAUUGUAUGCGCCCAGUGGGCCAAGUUUUGGUAAGCAGAACUGGUGCUGCGGGAUGAACCGAACGCAUUGUUAAGGCGCCCAAAUAAACGACGCAUCAUCGAUACCAUGAAAGGUGUGAUGCUGAAGACAGCGUCAUGGC